rnacentral:rRNA from 1 species
UACGAAGGGGGGCUAGCGUUGCUCGGAAUCACUGGGCGUAAAGGGCGCGUAGGCGGCGUUUUUAAGUCGGGGGGUGAAAGCCUGUGGCUCAACCACAGAAUGGCCUUCGAUACUGGGGACGCUUGGAGUAUGGUAGAGGUUGGUGGAACUGCGAGUGUAGAGGUGAAAUUCGUAGAUAUUCGCAAGAACACCGGUGGCGAAGGCGGCCAACUGGACCAUUACUGACGCUGAGCGCGAAAGCGUGGGGAGCAACAGG